rnacentral:sRNA from 1 species
GACUGUGCGACUCCAGCCUGAGCGUUAAGCGCGAGGCUGACGGCUGGUGGCUUAGGCCACCGGCCU